rnacentral:lncRNA from 1 species
AUUUCUUCCAGACCAUGGCUGGAGAAGGAAAGAAGAUUGUUGCAGUGUCAGGACCAAGGUCAAAUGAGUUAUAGCCAAGUCUACAGUAAGAUGUGGCAGUAUUCUGUUUUGAAGCCGGGACCAUGAUUGGUAAGCUUGCCACUUGGUCAAGUGCUCACCCUCUGAAGAUGUCUUCCUUGGUCUUUGCCUCCAGCUGGGUGUCACAAACUCUGAACUGGAUUCCAAGGCUUUCAUGAAUUCACUUAUGUUUGCUGUGGCAGCUGCAUUAUGUCGUGGGGGAUGUGGAUGCAGAACCUCACAUUCUGUCAUCUUGCUUAUGUUACUCUCCUUUAUGUUUCACUUUCUCAAAUGAAUGUCAAGCAGGUGAUUUUCAGAUUCAAAAGUUCUAAAAUAAAUUGCUCAAAUUUACACAUUAUGUAAGCUGUUAAUAAAAUGUCUUGUAGGUGCUACAUAUUUAUUAAAAUUUUUGGUUGUAAUUUUAAGCUCACUGUAGGCAGAAAGGAAUCAUUAAGAUUUCUAUUCUUUUUUAGUCUGUAUCUAAAUGACCACAUAUUUUAAUUCCAAAUAUUUACUUUAUGC